rnacentral:misc_RNA from 1 species
AACAAGGCGUACCUGCGGACCUGCGGAGGGAUCAUUACAGAGUGUUUAACCCCCUAUAAAAUGGUGGGUCUAACCUCCCGUCCUUUGCUGGGUCCCCCUUCUGGAGGACUUUCAAAACUUUCUGCUUCGGCGGGGUAUACCCGCCGGAACACCCUCAAAAAAUUCUUGAUCAAAAUGGUUCGGUCCGAGAAACUUUUUGUGAAAAUUAGCGAAAAACUUUCAACAACGGAUCUCAGAUCG